CCUGUUUAUUAAAAACAUGUCCUAUUGAUUAUAAUUUUAGGUCUGUCCUGCCCMCUGAUAUAUUAAAUGGCCGCGGUAUCUUGACCGUGCAAAGGUAGCAUAAUCAUUAGUUUUUUAAUUGAAAGCUUGUAUGAAUGGAUUAAUGAGAAAAUUACUGUCUUUAUUUAAAUUUAGUAGAAGUUUAUUAUUAAGUGAAAAAGCUUAAAUUUUUAUAGUAGACGAGAAGACCCUAUAGAGUUUUAUAUUUAUAUUAAUAUAUUAAUAUAAGGAAUUUUUAUUAUUUAAUUUUAUGAAUAUUUAGUUGGGGUGAUUUAAAAAUUAAUUUAACUUUUUUUUUAUUUAAACAAAUAUAUUUGAUAAAUUGAUCUUUUUAAAAGAUUAUAAGAUUAAAUUACCUUAGGGAUAACAGCGUAAUUUUUUUUUAGAGUUCUAAUCGAAAAAAGAGAUUGCGACCUCGAUGUUGGAUUAAAAUUAAAUAUUGGUGUAGAAGCUAAUAGAUUAGGUCUGUUCGACCUUUAAAAUUUUACAUGAUCUGAGUUUAAACCGGUGUAAGCCAGGUCGGUUUCUAUCU
rnacentral:rRNA from 1 species